rnacentral:rRNA from 1 species
GACGAACGCUGGCGGUGUGCUUAACACAUGCAAGUCGAACGGUAAGGCCCUUUCGGGGGUACACGAGUGGCGAACGGGUGAGUAACACGUGAGUAACCUGCCCUCAUCUCUGGGAUAACAGUCGGAAACGGUUGCUAAUACUGGAUAUGAGCCUGCAAGGCAUCUUGUGGGUUGGAAAGAUUUUUUGGUUGGGGAUGGACUCGCGGCCUAUCAGCUUGUUGGUGAGGUAGUGGCUCACCAAGGCUUCGACGGGUAGCCGGCCUGAGAGGGCGACCGGCCACAUUGGGACUGAGAUACGGCCCAAACUCCUACGGGAGGCAGCAGUGGGGAAUAUUGCACAAUGGACGGAAGUCUGAUGCAGCAACGCCGCGUGCGGGAUGACGGCCCUCGGGUUGUAAACCGCUUUCAAUUGUGACGAAGCUUUUUGUGACGGUAGCAGUAGAAGAAGCACCGGCUAACUACGUG